UUCGGUUUUUGACAUAGAUCAUUUCCCCUAACGUCUUUCAUUUCAAUUUGUAGUGUAGAGGUCGAAUUAACAAUUUCAAUUUCUAGGGUUCUUGGAAUUUCUGGAAAAUUUUCACCGGCCAAAUUGGAGCUCUUCCAGGGCAAUGCCGCGAGCUACAGUUAAAUGAAGGAACUCGUUUGCGUGGUCGCCCAAUAGUACUUUUGCAGGCGAAAUUAGUUGAGGUCGGGCGUACAUGGAGUCGAGGCAUAGCCAACAGCAUUGCAUCCGCGUACUCAUUCUAUUUUUGUUUUCUUUGUUACCUAGUGGAUUAGUAUUGCUCUGAUAACCUAUGGGAUUAAUAUUGUUUUUGGGUUGAGACUGAUAUUUGUGAAAUUGGAGUUGUGAUUUGGGGAGCAGAUGGCUCCAGAAGAUUAAGGAUGGAUGAUUUAGAAGUGUAAAUGUUUUCCUACAGGUUUUGGGUAGCCUACUUUUAGGGGAAGUUCCGCCAAAUUUUUGGUAGAAUCUCUUCUAAAGUGGGCCCCGCAGGGCCACUUCGGA